rnacentral:rRNA from 1 species
UACGAAGGGGGCUAGCGUUGCUCGGAAUUACUGGGCGUAAAGGGCUCGUAGGUGGUCAACUAAGUCAUACGUGAAAUCCCUCGGCUUAACCGGGGAACUGCGCCUGAUACUGGUUGACUUGAGUUUGGGAGAGGGGACGCGGAAUUCCAGGUGUAGCGGUGAAAUGCGUAGAUAUCUGGAGGAACACCGGUGGCGAAGGCGGCAUCCUGGACCGACACUGACGCUGAGGCGCGAAAGCUAGGGUAGCAAACGGGAU